rnacentral:ncRNA from 2 species
CGAUUGGUCCCCUGCUUCGGUUCCGCCAAUUGUGCGCGGAUUAAAAGGGAACACGGUGCGGAUUACCCAUCAGGGGCCAACGCCGUGGCUGCCCUCGCAACUGUAAGCGGCAAGCUUUUCGCUCCCAAGCCACUGGACGCCAGCGUCCGGGAAGGCCGCGAAUAGCGCCAGAGCCGCGAGCCAGGAGACCUGCCAGAGCGCAAGACCAUGU